rnacentral:rRNA from 1 species
UACGGAGGGUGCAAGCGUUAAUCGGAUUUAUUGGGCGUAAAGGGCGUGUAGGCGGGAAGCUAAGUCAGAUGUGAAAUCCCGGGGCUCAACCUCGGAACUGCAUAUGAGACUGGCUUUCUUGAGGAUAGGCGGAGAAAAUGGAAUUCCACAAGUAGCGGUGAAAUGCGUAGAUAUGUGGAAGAACACCUGUGGCGAAGGCGAUUUUCUAGCUUAGACCUGACGCUGAGGCGCGAAAGCAAGGGGAGCAAACAGG